rnacentral:rRNA from 1 species
UACGGGGGGGGCAAGCGUUGUUCGGAAUUACUGGGCGUAAAGGGCGCGUAGGCGGCCAGGCAAGUCCUUCGUGAAAUCCCACAGCUCAACUGUGGAACUGCGGAGGAAACUUCUUGGCUUGAGUCCGGGAGAGGGUAGUGGAAUUCCCAGUGUAGCGGUGAAAUGCGUAGAUAUUGGGAGGAACACCGGUGGCGAAGGCGGCUACCUGGACCGGUACUGACGCUGAGGCGCGAAAGCUAGGGGAGCAAACGGGAUUAGAUACCCGCGUA